GGAGAAUUUUAUUUAACACCGGUAAAGAAUAUUUACACCGGCGGUGGCGUCAUUUUCACACCGCUUUCGGUGUUGAAAUUUAACACCGCAAAUUUUAAGACCUACACCGCUUGGACUUACCCCGGUCAUUUUUUACAAUGUAAUUAAAUGCUAUCGCCUAGUAAUUAUCUAUAAUUGCUUUUUAGAUACCACUUGUAAAUAUAAGUUUUUAAGUAAAUAAAUACACUGUAUUUUAAGCCUUGGAAUAUAACUUUAAUAUUUUGACCGAAGGCAACUUCUGAACUCAACAAAACAUACCAACUUAUUGUUAAAAAAAUGAAUUCUAUAACUAUGUCCAAGUUAACUGUUGUUGUAUUUUUGGUUACAUUGUUGGCGAUUGGCUCGUUUGCGUGCAUUGAACAUGGGAAAGAAUGUACUAUGGAUGGUGAACAAUGUUGUUCUCCCUAUUUUUGCAGAAAAAAUAAAAAUUUUCAAUAUUUGUCAUGCGGCAUGACCGCGGAUUCUUUUCCCGGUAUAAUGGAUGGAAGCUCUUUCUUGUCUGUCAUAGCUCCAAACUCCGAUUGAAACCGCUGAAUUCCGAUUGGUUCCGAUUGAAAUCCGAUAGACUUUCAAUCGAAGUUUUUAAUCAGGGUGGCUGAGUCUACUUUUUUAUUUCAGAAAUAAUAAUAAUAAUUAUUAAUACUGUAAUGAUCAUUAUCAUUAUCUGAAUAAAAAUAAUUUCCAUCAUAAA